rnacentral:rRNA from 1 species
GCGAAACUGCGAAUGGCUCAUUAAAUCAGUUAUCGUCUAUUUGAUAGUACCUUACUACUCGGAUAACCGUGGUAAUUCUAGAGCUAAUACGUGCUGAAAAACCCCGACUUCGGAAGGGGUGUAUUUUAUUAGAUUAAAAAGCCAAUGCCCCCCCCGGGGCCCCUUGGUGAUUCAUGAUAACUCCUCGAAUCGCACGGCCUUGCGCCGGCGAUGGUUCAUUCAAAUUUCUGCCCUAUCAACUUUCGACGGCUGGGUCUUGGCCAGCCGUGGUGACAACGGGUAACGGAGGGUUAGGGCUCGACCCCGGAGAAGGAGCCUGAGAAACGGCUACUACAUCCAAGGAAGGCAGCAGGCGCGCAAAUUACCCAAUCCCGACGCGGGGAGGUAGUGACAAUAAAUACUGAUACAGGGCUCUUUCGGGUCUUGUAAUUGGAAUGAGUACAAUUUAAUUCCCUUAACGAGGAACAAUUGGAGGGCAAGUCUGGUGCCAGCAGCCGCGGUAAUUCCAGCUCCAAUAGCGUAUAUUAAAGUUGUUGCAGUUAAAAAGCUCGUAGUUGAACCUUGGGCCUGGCUGGCCGGUCCGCCUCACCGCGUGCACUGGUCCGGCCGGGCCUUUCCCUCUGGGGAACCGCAUGCCCUUCGCUGGGCGUGCCGGGGAACCAGGACGUUUACUUUGAAAAAAUUAGAGUGUUCAAAGCAGGCUUAUGCUCGGAUACAUUAGCAUGGAAUAAUGGAAUAGGACGUGCGGUUCUAUUUUGUUGGUUUCUAGGACCGCCGUAAUGAUUAAUAGGGACAGUCGGGGGCAUCCGUAUUCAGUUGUCAGAGGUGAAAUUCUUGGAUCUACUGAAGACGAACUACUGCGAAAGCAUUUGCCAAGGAUGUUUUCAUUAAUCAGGAACGAAAGUUAGGGGAUCGAAGACGAUCAGAUACCGUCGUAGUCUUAACCAUAAACUAUGCCGACUAGGGAUCGGACGGUGUUGCUUUUUGACCCGUUCGGCACCUUGCACGAA